rnacentral:rRNA from 1 species
UGAGGAAUAUUGGUCAAUGGGCGAGAGCCUGAACCAGCCAAGUAGCGUGCAGGAUGACGGCCCUAUGGGUUGUAAACUGCUUUUGUAUGGGGAUAAAGUCAAUCACGUGUGAUUGUUUGCAGGUACCAUACGAAUAAGGACCGGCUAAUUCCGUGCCAGCAGCCGCGGUAAUACGGAAGGUCCGGGCGUUAUCCGGAUUUAUUGGGUUUAAAGGGAGCGUAGGCUGGAGAUUAAGUGUGUUGUGAAAUGUAGACGCUCAACGUCUGACUUGCAGCGCAUACUGGUUUCCUUGAGUACGCACAACGUUGGCGGAAUUCGUCGUGUAGCGGUGAAAUGCUUAGAUAUGACGAAGAACUCCGAUUGCGAAGGCAGCUGACGGGAGCGCAACUGACGCUGAAGCUCGAAGGUGCGGGUAUCGAACAGGAUUAGAUACCCUGGUAGUCCGCACAGUAAACGAUGGAUGCCCGCUGUUGGUACCUGGUAUCAGGCGGCUAAAGCGAAAGCAUUAAGCAUCCCACCUGGGGGAGUACGCCGGCACGGU